rnacentral:rRNA from 1 species
GACGAACGCUGGCGGCGUGCUUAACACAUGCAAGUCGAACGGAAAGGCCCUGCUUUUGUGGGGUGCUCGAGUGGCGAACGGGUGAGUAACACGUGAGUAACCUGCCCUUGACUUUGGGAUAACUUCAGGAAACUGGGGCUAAUACCGGAUAGGAGCUCCUGCUGCAUGGUGGGGGUUGGAAAGUUUCGGCGGUUGGGGAUGGACUCGCGGCUUAUCAGCUUGUUGGUGGGGUAGUGGCUUACCAAGGCUUUGACGGGUAGCCGGCCUGGGAGGGUGACCGGCCACAUGGGGACUGAGAUACGGCCCAGACUCCUACGGGAGGCAGCAGUGGGGAAUAUUGCACAAGGGGCGGAAGCCGGAUGCAGCAACGCCGCGGGCGGGAGGACGGCCUUCGGGUGGUAAACCGCUUUCGCCUGUGACGAAGCGUGAGUGACGGUAAUGGGGAAAGAAGCACCAGCUAACUACGU